rnacentral:rRNA from 1 species
CCCUUAGAUGUUCUGGGCCGCACGCGUGCUACACUGAGUGGAUCAGCGGGUCAGGUUGCGCGAAAGUGUUUCCUAAUCUUUAAAUCCGCUCGUGAUGGGGAUUGACGGUUGCAAUUUUCCGUCAUGAACGAGGAAUACCUUGUAAGCGCGGGUCAUCAUCCCGCGCUGAAUACGUCCCUGCCCUUUGUACACACCGCCCGUCGCUCCUACCGAUUGAGUGGUCCGGUGAGGCUUUGGGAUCUGAGCGGAAAGAGCGUUUCGCUGUUUCUGCCCGGAAAACUCAGUCGAACCUUAUCAUUUAGAGGAAAGAGAAGUCGUAACA